CUGAAGCGACUGUAGUUGUUUGCAGAGAUGCAUAAAUAGCUCCACAAAGAGAAAGGGCAGGUAUCCAAGAGCUGUUUAAGCCAGAGAGAAGAGACGUGGCUCAAACCAACAGCUGCAGGCUGAAGCCAGACCAAUUGAGAUGAGAAAAUAGGCAUUAAUUUUAUCAGAAUGCAGUUGAUUAGCUGCUGGAACAAAUGGCUGGAGAAAGGGAAAGUCUUUCCAUAUGGUAGUGUUUACUAAUCAAGAUAAGAUGCCCAUCUAUAAGAUGUGCUUCAGCCAAGCACCAGUUCCUGGGUUCAGUGAGCAGGGAUGGUGUGAAAUGGUAGUGGCUCUGAGAAGAUAAAGAAGUGACUCUGUGGUUCCACCUGACCUUCAGGAGUAGGAUAUGCCCCUGGCAGUGAUGUGAGAUGGGGCUUUCUCCUGCCCCAGGUGCUGGCUGAUGCUCUCCAGAACCAGCCAUUGGAGACAUCAGUUCUUCUUAUCUGUGAUGCUCUGCACUGAUACCACUUGUAUUGCUGCUGCCUGCUAACCACAGCCCACAUUAAAGCAAAUGACAGUCCUGCACCUCGGUACCUCUUGCAUUAAACAAGGCCCGUGUCUGGCCAUAGUCUUUGCUGAAAUCAGGCGGUGGGUGUGCUGAGAAGUCUCUCUUGGUGGUGCCUGCCUCCUGCAGGAGCUGUUACAGCUACACAGUUGAUGGUAUGGCAUCCAUCCCAAAAAGGCAGCUCUGAGCUUUCUCCUGUGUCCAGAACAGCAGGCCAGGUACCUCCUCCUUCAUGUCA